rnacentral:rRNA from 1 species
UACGGAGGGUGCAAGCGUUAUCCGGAUUCACUGGGUUUAAAGGGUGCGUAGGUGGAUCUAUAAGUCAGUGGUGAAAGCCCCGAGCUCAACUUGGGAAUUGCCAUUGAUACUGUAGAUCUUGAGUGCGGUUGAGGUAGGCGGAAUGUUGCAUGUAGCGGUGAAAUGCUUAGAUAUGUGGAAGAACACCGGUGGCGAAGGCGGGUAGCUGGGCCGACACUGACGCUGAGGCGCGAAAGCCAGGGGAGCGAACGGG